rnacentral:rRNA from 1 species
GACGAACGCUGGCGGCGUGCUUAACACAUGCAAGUCGAACGAGAGCGUAGAGAAAGCUUGCUUUUUCUACAAUCUAGUGGCAAACGGGUGAGUAACGCGUAAACAACCUGCCCUACGGAUGGGGACAACAGCUGGAAACGGCUGCUAAUACCGAAUACGUUCCGAAAGUCGCAUGACUAUCGGAAGGAAGGAUGGCCUCUAUUUAUAAGCUAUCGCCGGAGGAGGGGUUUGCGUCUGAUUAGCUAGUUGGAGGGGUAACGGCCCACCAAGGCGACGAUCAGUAGCCGGUCUGAGAGGAUGAACGGCCACAUUGGAACUGAGACACGGUCCAGACUCCUACGGGAGGCAGCAGUGGGGAAUCUUCCGCAAUGGGCGAAAGCCUGACGGAGCAACGCCGCGUGAGUGAAGACGGCCUUCGGGUUGUAAAGCUCUGUUAUACGGGACGAAUAAUCUUGUGGUUAAUACCCAUGAGAAGUGACGGUACCGUAAGAGAAAGCCACGGCUAACUACGUG